UACGGAGGGUGCAAGCGUUAUCCGGAUUUACUGGGUUUAAAGGGUGCGUAGGUGGGUCUGUAAGUCAAUGGUGAAAUCUCCGGGCUUAACCCGGAAAUUGCCAUUGAUACUAUAGGUCUUGAAUCAUCUGGAGGUAAGCGGAAUAUGUCAUGUAGCGGUGAAAUGCUUAGAUAUGACAUAGAACACCAAUUGCGAAGGCAGCUUACUACGGAUGUAUUGACACUGAGGCACGAAAGCGUGGGGAGCAAACAGG
rnacentral:rRNA from 1 species